ACCCGCUGAACUUAAGCAUAUCAAUUAAGCGGAGGAAAAGAAACUAACAAGGAUUCCCCUAGUAACGGCGAGUGAACCGGGAAGAGCUCAAAUUUGAAAUCUGGCAGUCUUCGAUUGUCCGAGUUGUAAUCUAUAGAAGCGUUUUCCGUGCUGAACUGUGUAUAAGUCCCUUGGAACAGGGUAUCAAAGAGGGUGACAAUCCCGUACUUUACACAAUCAUCAGUGCUCUGUGAUACGUUCUCUACGAGUCGAGUUGUUUGGGAAUGCAGCUCAAAAUGGGUGGUAAAUUCCAUCUAAAGCUAAAUAUUGGCGAGAGACCGAUAGCGAACAAGUACCGUGAGGGAAAGAUGAAAAGCACUUUGGAAAGAGAGUUAAACAGUACGUGAAAUUGUUGAAAGGGAAACGAAAUUCAUGAAUCAUGUUUAUUGGACUCAGCCGUUCUUCGGUGUACUUCCUUUAAACGGGUCAACAUCAGUUUUGUCCGAUGGAUAAAGGUAGUAGGAAGGUGGCUCUCUCGGGAGUGUUAUAGCCUAUUGCUGCAUACAUUGGAUGAGACUGAGGACUGCAGCUUGCCUUUAUGGCCGGGGUUCGCCCACGUUCAAGCUUAGGAUGUUGACAUAUUCUCGAAUCACGACCCGUCUUGAAACACGGACC
rnacentral:rRNA from 1 species